UACAGAGGGGGCAAGCGUUGUUCGGAAUUACUGGGCGUAAAGGCGCGUAGGCGGCCUGCUAAGUCGAACGUGAAAUCCCUGGGCUCAACCCAGGAACUGCGUCCGAUACUGGUUGGCUUGAAUCCGGGAGAGGGACGUGGAAUUCCCAGUGUAGCGGUGAAAUGCGUAGAUAUUGGGAGGAACACCAGUGGCGAAGGCGGCUACCUGGACCGGUUCUGACGCUGAUGCGCGAAAGCGUGGGUAGC
rnacentral:rRNA from 1 species